UUGCUUAUUUGCAUAAAUGGGUUCAUGAGUACUUUAUAUGUUGAUUAUUCAAAUCUAAAAUGAUCAAAAUGCAAACACCUAGUUUUUAUGUUCAUAAUGCCAUGGCUUUAAGUAAAUGAUUAUUUUACGUUGAUGCUAGAAUGAACUAUCGUGUUUGCAACAUUCCCACUUUCUCAAGCUGAAUGAACGUUUCAGCAGUUAAACUCAUUACUGUUGUUAAAGUAAAACACUAAGUGUGGUUAAAGUCCUUAUGCCAAUAUGCUUGAGUCUUGGCACUGAGAGGCAUUGUUUGCCCACAUGAAGCACAUUGUGCACAUGGCUGCCCUCAUUUGCUUUAGAACAGUCUCUGGACUGUGACCUGCUUAAUGAGACAACUCAUUUUAUUCUACAUCUUCUGUUGUUUUGGUUUGUUUGUUUUUGUUUGUUCUUGUACUCCUGCCCCAGGUCAAUAAAUCGGCUCGGAGAGCUCUAGCUGCAUGUGAAAAGCUUGUCUGAACUAUGGAAAAACUGAAGCAUGCCUGGCCAGCUGUCUCUGGAACUGAAAACAGCACCCAUGUCUGCUGGCACCGGUGCAUGUAGCAACGGAUAAAUCAGCACAGUCAGCAUCCAUUCAUCUGAAAACUGAUGAGAAAGCAGGUGCCCACGAUAUUGUGUCUGUUUACCCUGGUCCCUCUGGUCUGUCUUUGGGCUGGACUGCACAUGGCCUACAGACACCUGUGGAUGCUGAUCCUCCUUGUUAUCUUCAACAUCUUUGUGAUCUGUAUGUGUUUUCUGUCUAUCUCAUCAUGCAUAAUCAGCACUUCUGGCCUGCUAAAGCAACCUACACCAUGCACUGGUGCUGCUACUGUCGGUAGAGGGGAAAUCAGCAAGUCCAAACAGAACCUCAUCAGUGCCAUGGAAAAACUGUGUCUGUCACUCUUUGAUAUAGCAGUGGUAUAUAACAGCAUUUCAAACCACACAUGUACUGUAUAUGUAAGAUUACAUUGAUAGCCUUUAGAUUUAUGUGUUUACAUAACCACAUAUAUAUCAUUCUCCAGCCAAGAUAGAGGACUUCGUUCACUGAUUCAGCUCCUGCACACACAGACUGUAAAAGUGUUAUGUAAUAAAGAGGCCUGGUGUAGAAGCUCACAUUCCUCUGAGCCCUCUAUGUAAACUAUUCACAGAUCCGGGAAAGAGGGUGUAAGGGAGGUUAGGAGGGGAAACAUGGGACUGUGAAGUGAGCACAGGCUGCCUGAGAAAGAUGGGCAGAGAUCAAGAAAGGCUUUUAGAGAUGAUAUUCCUUCGGUCUGCAACUUUAAUGCUGAGCUGUUCUCAAGACACUAUACUUUAUUAAUGAGACUUAAAAGUAUACUACUGCAGAAGCUUUACAUUGAGUAGAAUUUAUAUAGAUUUAUAUAUUUUUUUUAAUCAUGAAUAGAAAUGAAUACAACAGAAAUGUAGGUCUAUGUAUAUAUAUAAUUGUAUGUGUGUGUGUGUGUGUGUGUAUACUAUUUAUUAUUAUUUAUUUAUUUUUCUCAGAAUAGUUUUAACAUGAUAAUGGAUAUGACAGUGUUAAUGUAUUUGGUCUUGGUGGACUGGUAAAGUUGAAACUUAAAGGAUGAAAGUAAAAACCCUUUAGAAUAGCUUCAUUAAACCUUCACAUAUUUCACUCUACUUCUUUGUACUUUGUUUUUGUGCCGUCAGAGUGCUAAUGAUGAGACUUGGGUGAAGUCUCCAAUCAAUCCAAAAAUGUAAUAAAGUUUAUAUAAAGCAGAAAAAAUCCAUCCAAAGUGGCUUGAAAUUGUUCGAAAUAUAUUGAUUUAUUCAGGUAAAGUCAAUUUAUUCCCUAAAACCCCUGUUGAUUCUAUAGUUUCCCACUCAUAUUGAGUUUUGAUUUGAAAAUACAGCCUAAGUGUACAAAUCCAUAAGAUUGUGGCUUGACUCUAGUUUUAGGGACACUGACCUCCAAGUGCAGAUUUGAGAGAAGUGGAGUAAUCGUGUUUUGUUCAUGAGAGCACUGACUCCUCGCUUAAAGCAGCUCGUAGGGUCGCAUGUGUCCUCGAGACAAGAGACAGUUAGACUCGGAGGAGGUGACUGUGGAGAGAGGAAAGAAAACAGUGCUCUGGAGGGGUGGCUGUCUCCUCAGGCUCUUCAAACAUGACAUGACUAGGUGCCUGGUGGUGCUCAGUUCACCCGCUGUACAUUCUGUUCUGAUAACAGGACUGUUGAUGGACUAUUGUAUCAGAAUGAGGUGCCUGGGACAUGGGGGACUGGAGUGGCCUCUCUCUCCAUCCUCAUUGGAAAAAGCGCCCAGCCAAAGGAAAUGUUGCGUUUUAAUGGGGUUAAUUAUUCUUUACAUUCAAGACUGAAAUGAGUGAAAGAGUAGGUUUAUAUCACUGGAUAGAGUCAGAAGGUUAGUGUGAUGAGUAUCACUGCCUCUUCAUGACAUACUGUAAGUCAGCAGUUUCUACAGUAUUUAGUUUUGAAUGUCUCUCAAGUGUGAGAAUGUUAGAAAUGUGUCAGCUGGUAAAGAGUUUGUUAUGCCAUUUAUAUUACGAUUAUUAUUAAAGGUUGUUUUUGUAGCAAAUAUAGUUGGCUGUGUUGUUGUUAACAGUAUUGUUAAUCAUCAGUUUGCUGUAUUAUAAUAUAAUUUAAAUUAUGUGAGUAAGCAUAUUAUGUUCAAGUUAACUUCAUUUAAAAAAAAGAAAAAAAAUGUUGUAGCAUUAUAAACUUUCUUCACAUAUACAUCUCAUCCCCUGUUAAAUCAAUUCAUUACGAAACGUCUGAAUGCUUGUGAAUGCUGACUCACCCCCACAGACCCAUCUUUAUAGACAUCCAAGCCCUGGUAACCUCUGACUGACCCCUGCACCAGACACACCGGUGAAUGGCUGAUUUGCAUGGCUCCUUUCAGCUCAUACUGAGUGCACAAACUAGAUCAUCUACAAAAGGCAUUUUAAUUUGGUGAAGCUUUGAAAAUUGGAAGUUAUUUAUUGUGACAUUUAAAGAUCUUUUUUGUAACGUUUUGCAGAUCUCUGCAGACUGGGAGAGAGCUUCACUGAGGCCCAGCAGUCAGCCUAGCAGUGUUUUCAAACUGAUUCCUCAGGACGAGACCUGCUUCAUCAACAUUAAUCUGGUGCAGGACGAGGAGUUACAGGAGGUUGAUGACCUCAUAGACCCUAGAAAGUCCCUUUCUUAAAAAAAUGCACCUACAUCCUUACAGAUCUAUAAUUCCUGUGAAUUUUUUUUUGGAGAAUACUAGUUUAGUUUUUUUUUUUUUUUUUUUUUUUUUAUAUCGCAGACACAGAUCUCUAACCUCACUAUUUUUUGUACUGAAAAUUGUAAAAAGAAACCUAUAUA